GACGAACGCUGGCGGCGUGCCUAACACAUGCAAGUCGAACGGACGAGAUUUCUUCGGAGAUCGAGUUAGUGGCGAACGGGUGAGUAACGCGUAGGCAACCUGCCCUUUGGAUGGGGACAACAUUCCGAAAGGAGUGCUAAUACCGAAUGUGACGAUUUUACCGCAUGGUUUAAUCGUGAAAGAUGGCCUCUACAUGUAAGCUAUCGCCAAAGGAUGGGCCUGCGUCUGAUUAGCUAGUUGGUGGGGUAACGGCUCACCAAGGCGACGAUCAGUAGCCGGUCUGAGAGGAUGAACGGCCACAUUGGGACUGAGACACGGCCCAGACUCCUACGGGAGGCAGCAGUGGGGGAUAUUGCACAAUGGGCGAAAGCCUGAUGCAGCAACGCCGCGUGAGGGAUGACGGUUUUCGGAUUGUAAACCUCUGUCUUUGGUGACGAAAACAAUGACGGUAGCCAAGGAGAAGCCAACGGCUAACUACGUG
rnacentral:rRNA from 1 species